CCUACGGGAGGCAGCAGUGGGGAAUAUUGGACAAUGGGGGCAACCCUGAUCCAGCCAUGCCGCGUGUGUGAAGAAGGCCCUCGGGUUGUAAAGCACUUUCAGUGAGGAAGAACGCCUGGUGGUUAAUACCCAUCAGGAAAGACAUCACUCACAGAAGAAGCACCGGCUAACUCCGUGCCAGCAGCCGCGGUAAUACGGAGGGUGCGAGCGUUAAUCGGAAUUACUGGGCGUAAAGCGCGCGUAGGUGGCUUGAUAAGCCGGUUGUGAAAGCCCCGGGCUCAACCUGGGAACGGCAUCCGGAACUGUCAAGCUAGAGUGCAGGAGAGGAAGGUAGAAUUCCCGGUGUAGCGGUGAAAUGCGUAGAGAUCGGGAGGAAUACCAGUGGCGAAGGCGGCCUUCUGGACUGACACUGACACUGAGGUGCGAAAGCGUGGGUAGCAAACAGGAUUAGAUACCACAGUAGUC
rnacentral:rRNA from 1 species